UCCCUGGUGGUCUAAUGGCUAGGAUUCGGCGCUUUCACCGCCGCGGCCCGGGUUCGAUUCCCGGUCAGGGAA
rfam:Nomascus leucogenys chromosome 12, whole genome shotgun sequence.